GGUGGAAUCUUACUGGAGUGGGUUUCCGUUGUUAGUAAGUAAUCAAUGGAGGUGGAGCAAAAGCAACAAUUGGAGCAAAAACAAUAGGUCAAAUAUACAAAGGUUUUGUAGUGAUUAUAACAUCAGAUAUAGUGAAGGAGAAGGGGAAGGUCUAAAAAAAAAUAACUCAGUAAAGACAAUAUAUAGUUGAAGUUGAGGUAAAAAAUAAAAACUAUGAUAACACUUUUGGAGACAUGAAUAACCCCGCAAAAAAUACAUUUUAGAGAUUUGGUAGAAAGUUUAAAAUUGUCUAAUUUAAGAUCAUGGCCAAAACUUGUGAAGCUAAAUAUAAGGGGAGAAACAAGGUAAAUAGUCCAUCUGCAAUACCAGAUAGAGUAGGAACCUCAUUGCAAAAGCCAAAAAUGAAGAAAUGUUGUGACAAAAUGACAUGUGACAAAUGCAUAAUCCCAAAAGUGAAGAGGAACAUAAUGGUGACGUAAGGUACAAGAAUUUUUGACCAAGUAUCAGUUCAUUUUUUGGCAAUACCAUUUUGUUUUGUUGUAAAAUAUUGCUUCAAGUACAAUGAAAAAAAUGGGGCAGGUGUUGAAAAGAGUAACACCAAAAGAUAAAAUGUUUUUGAAGUCGAUGUAGAAAAACAAUUACAGUCCUUUCACAGAUUUGAAUAUGCCAAACAAUACAUUUGAUGGUAGAGUUUAUCAUUUCUAGGUUUGAGUUCAUGACCAAAACAUGUCAAACUAAAAGACAAGGAGAGAACUAUAAAAAUUCUAUUGGGAAUACAAGAUAGUUUACGAAACCUGAUAAGAUAUAAGGUGAUAUGAUAAAAUGGGUUUAGGAUAGAAGGAAGAGGAAAUGAGAGGGACGGUUAGGAGGGAAGAGUUGUUUGACAGUUAGAAUAGUUUUGUACAGAAGGGGAGGGAAUACUAUAAAUAGGGGUUAUACUUGCAUACGGAGUGUGAAAAUUAUAUAUGAGAGUAAUCUUCCUUGUGUUUACACAUAGGGCCUCUAUUUAUAUUAGAAGAAAUAUGAGCUAAGUCCAAAAUACAAAUAAGAAAUAUAAACAAACUAACUAAAGAUAAAAGAUAAAUAUAAACUAGGUUUAAACCAUUUAGUUGUCCCUAUUUUUGGGAGGUUUUCCCAUUUUGAUCCCCGUCUUAUUAGAAUCCCCAAUUGAGUCCCUAUAAGUGCUAAUUUCAAUCAAUUAAGCCCCAGCCGUUAAAUUUAGUUAACGGGGUUAACUUUUUUGCACAGCUGGAAGGAUGACCUGUUAAUUUCUGUAAACGUGGCCUAUUUAGAGUUGAAACGUGGC
rnacentral:lncRNA from 1 species